AUUUUUAUAGUGUAAAUAAACACAUAACAUUUUCAUUGUUAUAAUGUUCCCAACUAAAAAUA
rnacentral:tRNA from 1 species